CCUACGGGAGGCAGCAGUAAGGAAUAUUGGUCAAUGGACGGAAGUCUGAACCAGCCAUGCCGCGUGCAGGAAGACGGCCCUACGGGUUGUAAACUGCUUUUGCAGGGGAAUAAACCCCGAUACGUGUAUCGGGCUGAAUGUACUCUGAGAAUAAGGAUCGGCUAACUCCGUGCCAGCAGCCGCGGUAAUACGGAGGAUCCAAGCGUUAUCCGGAUUUAUUGGGUUUAAAGGGUGCGUAGGUGGCCUGUUAAGUCAGGGGUGAAAGACGGUAGCUUAACUAUCGCAGUGCCCUUGAUACUGAUGGGCUUGAAUAAACUAGAGGUAGGCGGAAUGUGACAAGUAGCGGUGAAAUGCAUAGAUAUGUCACAGAACACCAAUUGCGAAGGCAGCUUACUAUGGUUUUAUUGACACUGAGGCACGAAAGCGUGGGGAUCAAACAGGAUUAGAUACCCUGGUAGUCCACGCCCUAAACGAUGAAUACUCGAUGUUGGCGAUAUACGGUCAGCGUCUAGACGAAGACGUAAGUUAGUUACCUACCGUACGGAAGGUACGGCCGCCGAACGGGUAGGUAAACGUUACGAAAGUAAGUUAAGUUAGUACGCGNGAGAGCGACGACGACGACGACGGAGGAGGAGG
rnacentral:rRNA from 1 species